UAAGAGGUCCCGCCUGCCCUGUGACAUCUAGUUCAACGGCCGCGGUAUUUUGACCGUGCGAAGGUAGCGUAAUCACUUGUCUCUUAAAUAGAGACCUGUAUGAAUGGCAACACGAGGGCUUAACUGUCUCCUUUCUCCAGUCAGUGAAAUUGAUCCCCCCGUGCAGAAGCGGGGAUAAAAACAUAAGACGAGAAGACCCUAUGGAGCUUAAGACACCCAUAACUUAUGCGAAAAUUCUUAAAUCAAAAAGAAAGAGCUAAAUAAGCCUUAGUAAAUGUCUUUGGUUGGGGCGACCACGGGGGAUAAUAAAGCCCCCAUGCGGAAUAGGACAUCUCCUUAACCUCAGAGCCACCGCUCUAAGUAACAAAACAUUUGACCACCCGAUCCGGCAAUUUCACGCCGAUCAACGAACCGAGUUACCCUAGGGAUAACAGCGCAAUCCCCUCAUAGAGCCCCUAUCGACGAGGGGGUUUACGACCUCGAUGUUGGAUCAGGACAUCCUAAUGGUGCAACCGCUAUUAAGGGUUCGUUUGUUCAACG
rnacentral:rRNA from 1 species